GUGAUUUUAUCUGCUUGUUGGAUUGUUUAGUUCUUUCAGAAUUGGCGAAUUCCAAUCUCUCAACUUCCUUGGCUAGUCUAGAAAUCAACUUAAGGUCUAUUCAAACUUCUCUUUCUGUUAUGCCAACUUGGAGGCUUGAAUUUGUCAUAUAAUUGCGUCUCUAGCAGAAUCCACCCGCAGGAGGAUGAGAUCAUCGCGCAUUGCUCAUUGUUCAUGCUGUUAUUACAUGCAAGUUGUUGUUAAUCCUUGUUAGGGUGUGUAAUUGAUUUAGAUGCAUUUUUGGUUCUUCUGCUUACUCAACUAUUUUCUCUUUCUUUACCUAACCUAUUUAAUCUGCUAAUUAGAAUGUUGCUGCAUCUCUCUGUGUUACCAUGACUGCUCACCUGCUCUUCACUGCUCAGUUAUUUCCAUGGCAAAUUAUAGGAUGGAUCUGUAUGUUAAGCGUCUACUGACAGAGAUAUAAGUGUUAACACAGAGCUUUUUAUUUGGUUGUAUAUUCCUUAUGCAGCUAUGCUUCAAAAUUGCUUUCACCAUAAAAGUCGUGACUUUCCACCUUGAAAUUCAAAAUUGAUGGCUGUAGAUUCCAAUUGAAAAUUCAAAAUUCAAACUUGCGAAUGAUCCUCAUAAGUUUGUGGAAAAGGGAAAUGCUGAUACAAUUGCUAUUGAAAAAGUAGCAUCUGGGAAUGCUUCGUUUCUGCAUUUGCAGCGGUCAGAUGAUUGUUAUGACAGCAAAAUACGAGAGAUUGCUGUUAUUGUGGAAGAUGUAACUGAUAGUGUACCUCCUGAUACACCCUUAUCUUCUCCAGUAUCCACAUGUGCAAGAUGAACCUAGUGAUGGUCUUCCAUCUGCUGAAGAAGAAACCGACGUCGAGAAUGUUAUUGAAGAAUCUGAUUAUGAGAAUGUCAAAAACGGUACUAAUGGAAAGGAAGAAUCUGUCUCUGAUUCUGCAAUUAUCGAAAAGGAGGAAGGGAUUUAUGGCUUGCAGAUCAUUAAAAACAGUGAUCUUGAAGAGCUACAAGAAUUGGGAUCUGGAACAUAUGGAACAGUAUAUUAUGGAAAGUGGAGGGGAACAGAUAUUGCUAUCAAGAGAAUAAAACAAAGUUGUUUUGCUGGGAGUUCAUCUGAGCAAGAACGACUGGUUGGCGUUACACAGAUUCAUAAUGUGAAAACUUGCUAGUCAACUUGGGAGAUCCACAACGUCCCGUGUGCAAGUUUUUCAGGUUGGUGAUUUUGGAUUAUCACGGAUUAAGAGAAAUACCCUUGUUUCCGGUGGUGUUAGAGGAACACUUCCAUGGAUGGCACCAGAGCUAUUGAAUGGAAACAGUAGUCGGGUGUCGGAAAAGUGUGGGAGAUCUUGACAGGAGAGAAGCCUUAUGCAAACCUGCAUUGCGGUGCUAUUAUUGCCAAGUGAUGCGGCUAGUGGACUCAUUUCGCUUAUGGAUGCAAGGAGACCACGUGAUGAUAGUGAUCCUAAUGAUAGUCGUUGAUUUCAUUGCAAAUUGUCUUGGAUAUUCAAUUAUGAUGAUGUAAUUGUGUGGUUGGAGUGAAUCUUAGAAUAUUGAAGGUUUUGUGUUUAAAUUUGAUUUUGGAGUUUGUUUA